GUCCCAGGCACGUCCGUUACACCAAGAUGGUCACGGCUGCCGCACCUGCGCUUCCUUAAACGAGGACGGUUUAAAAGGGCAGUGGGAAGUUGGAGGAGCCAGGAAUCGAACUCACGACCUCGUGCUUGCCAGGCAGGCGCUGUGCCACUGAGCUAAAUCCCCAGCACCCGCCUAGUUUUAAAGAGUAAAAAAUAAUGCAGCUUUAUUUAGUGUCCUGUUAUUCAAAGGAAGUCGGGAACAGAAUAUACCAAGAUGCGAGAAGAGAAAACUAUCCACUAAAGACGCUUAUCAUAAGAGUACCGUCGCGCCUGGAGUUAGGAUGGGAUUUUGCUCAAGAACAAUGCUCCUGAGGCUCACCUUCAGACAUGAAAGUGUCAAACAGUACUGACGGGACAAGCAGAGCAUCCACAUUUUAAACAGUAAUUUUCUCAAAUUGUAAGCACAUGUGCAUAAUGUACUUUGCUAAGGGUAGUCCUAGAUCACUAGGAAGUGAAUCAGCACAAGAAUUCAAGAUCAUUGUACAGUACUUAUUUCCAUCUUCUAGAAAAUUUUCGCGGGAUGUUGAUGAAGCUUGUGUUAAAAUAAAUGUUUACAAUCGCAAGGUUUAUAAAUAGCACAACAUUGGAAAUCUAAACACUUGAUAUUUAAGGAAUGUUGAUAAACUGAAAUAUUAAAAUAAUCUUAACAUCUCUAA